GACAGAGGGUGCGAACGUUGUUCGGAAUUACUGGGCGUAAAGCGCAUGUAGGCGGCAGCGCAAGUCGGGCGUGAAAUCCCACGGCUCAACCGUGGAAGUGCACUCGAAACUGCGCAGCUAGAGUCCCGGAGAGGAAGGUGGAAUGCUUGGUGUAGAGGUGAAAUUCGUAGAUAUCAAGCGGAACACCGGUGGCGAAGGCGGCCUUCUGGACAGUGACUGACGCUGAGAUGCGAAAGCGUGGGGAGCAAACAGG
rnacentral:rRNA from 1 species